rnacentral:rRNA from 1 species
AGCGAACGCUGGCGGCAGGCUUAACACAUGCAAGUCGAGCGGGCAUCCUUGUGGUGUCAGCGGCAGACGGGUGAGUAACGCGUGUGAACGUGCCCUUCGGUUCGGAAUAACUCAGGGAAACUUGAGCUAAUACCGGAUACGUGCGAGAGCAGAAAGGUUUAUCUGCCGAAGGAUCGGCCCGCGUCUGAUUAGCUAGUUGGUGAGGUUACGGCUCACCAAGGCGACGAUCAGUAGCUGGUCUGAGAGGAUGAUCAGCCACACUGGGACUGAGACACGGCCCAGACUCCUACGGGAGGCAGCAGUGGGGAAUAGUGGACAAUGGGGGCAACCCUGAUCCAGCCAGGCCGCGUGAGUGAUGACGGCCUUAGGGUUGUAAAGCUCUUUUCUCCGGGACGAUAAUGACGGUACCGGAGGAAUAAGCCCCGGCUAACUUCGUG